ACUAUUUUGGCAGAGAAGUGUAUUAAAUUUAGAAUUUAAAUAUGUAAGUUAUUAUUACAGAUAGUA
rnacentral:tRNA from 1 species